UGAAAAGAAGAGUCCAGUGUGUCAUGAGGAAAACCCCAAGAGCACGCUGCCUUACAAGACAGGUGAAAAAUGUGUUCUGUGAAAGAAAGAGUAAUUAACUGUUAAAUGUUACAGACUGAUCAAAUAAAAUGAAGACUGAGAAUGGCCUGUUUGUAAGAUCACUUUUAAAAGGAAAACAUAGGAGCCUGAAACAGAAGUGGGAAACAAAUAUUUACUCAAACUAAGAGAUUAAACUCAGUAGCCAGCAACAAGAGAUCAAGAUGGAGUCCUCCUCUGUCACCCAGGCUGGAGCGCAAUGGUAUGAUCUCGGCUAACUGCAACCUCAGCCUGCCAGGUUCAAGCAAUUCUUCUGCCUCAGCCUUCCGAGUAGCUGGGAUUACAGGUGCCUGCUGCCAUGAUGAUUAAUUUUAUUUGUUAACUUAGCUGGGCUGUGUUGCCCAGAUAGUUGGUUAAACAUUACUCUGGAUGUUUCUGUGAAGAUGUUUUUGGAUGAGGUUAACAUUUAGAUCGAUGGACUUUGAGUAAAGCAGAUUACCUUUCAUAAUUUGGGUGGGGCUCAUCCAAUCAGUUGAACAUCUGAAGAGACCAAAAGACUGACCUUCUGCAAGCAAAGAAAAAUUCUGCCAACAGACAGCCAUUGGACUUGAACUUCAACAUUGACUCUUCAGUCUAUUGGCCCACGCUGCAAAUUUUGGACUUGCCAGUAAGUGUCUGAAAUCUAGUGAGGCAAUUUCUUUCUUUUUUUUUUUUUGAGAUGGAGUUUCGCUCUUGUUGUCCAGGCUGGAGUGCAAUGGUGCGAUCUCAGCUCACCGUAACCUCUGCCUCCCAGGUUCAAGUGAUUCUUCUGCCUCAGCCUCCUGAGUAGCUGGGAUUACAGGCAUGUGCCACCACGCCCGGCUACUUUUGUAUUUUUAGUAGAGAUGGGGUUUCUCCAUAUUGGUCAGGCUGGUCUCAAAUUCCCAAACUCAGGUGAUCCACCCACCUUGGCCUCCCAAAGUGCUGGGAUUACAGAUGUGAGCCACAGUGCCCAGCCUAAUUUCUUUCUUUCUUUCUUUCUUUUUUUUUUUUUUUUUUGAGACGGAGUUUUGCUCUUUUUGCCCAGAAAGGAGUGCAAUGUGGCAGGAUGUUGGCUCACUGCAACCUCCACCUCCUGGCCUCCCUAGUAGCUGGGAUUACGGGCGCCUGCCACCACGCCCAGCUAAUUUUUGUAUUUUUAGUAGAGAUGGGGUUUCACCAUGUUGGCGAGGCUGGUCUCAAACUCCUGACAUUACGUGAUCUGCCCGCCUUGGCCUCCCAAAGUGCUGGGAUUACAGGCGUGAGCCACCAUGCCUAGCCGGGUAGUUUAUCUUGACUUGACUUCAGGCUCACCAAUCCCUUUGGCUGCAAUUCUACGAUAGAAAAGGACAUAAAAAACUGUAAAUUAGCCUUAGAAUAGAGAGAUAUUAUCGUUCCCUAGCAAUUAGUAUUCAAAGCAAGAUCCAAACAUGUAAUUAGUCAUUUAUGUAUCUAAGCUGUUUGUAUGUAUGAUACAAGUUUUCACAUACAAAUUUCUUCUUUCUUUCUUUCUUUUUUUUUGAUAGAGGCAGGGUUUCACGACAUUGCCCAGGCUGGUCUUCAGCUCAAGUGAUCCAUCCGCCUUGGCCUCCCAAAGUGCUGAGAUUACAGGCAUGAGCCACAGUGCCUGGCCCAAAUUAUUGUAGUUAUUUCCAAUUCCUUUCCCCCUUCUCAUAUCCCAAUUAAAGAAUUCCACUCAGGAA
rnacentral:antisense_RNA from 1 species